rnacentral:lncRNA from 1 species
AUCAGAAUGCGUGUUUCUGCGUAAUUCUGCGUAAUCCUGUACACUCUUUACACUCCUGGUAAAUGCAUUAUAACAUACCAACCAGAUUUUAGGAUAGACUUAAGUAAUGCCGUGAAGUACAAACUUUAUACAACUGCCGAGUGUGAUAUUACGAUAAUUAGUCAAUUUUUACUUAUUUAUUUGUUUGUUUAUUUAUUUUUUAUUUGCUACCAUUAUAUACAUAAAUAAAAUGUCACUGAAAGUGAAAAUAAGUAUUUUAUUUUAUGUUUUCUUUUGACUUUUAUGAAUUUUAUUCGUGUAUGUGAUAUCCCGUCAUUUCAUUGUCAUCAUCAGCUUUUAUUCUCUUAAAAUCUGAUGACAUGUAAUUCUAUAUCUAAUAUAUAUCAUUAUCAAAUAAAGAUACUUUCAUUA